UACGAAGGGGGCUAGCGUUGUUCGGAUUUACUGGGCGUAAAGCGCACGUAGGCGGAUUGUUAAGUCAGGGGUGAAAGCCCAAGGCUCAACCUUGGAAUUGCCUUUGAUACUGAGGGCCUUGAGACCGGAAGAGGUCGGCGGAACUGCGAGUGUAGAGGUGAAAUUCGUAGAUAUUCGCAAGAACACCAGUGGCGAAGGCGGCCGACUGGUCCGGUUCUGACGCUGAGGCGCGAAAGCGUGGGGAGCAAACAGG
rnacentral:rRNA from 1 species